UGGGGAAUAUUGCACAAUGGGGGAAACCCUGAUGCAGUGACGCCGCGUGAGUGAAGAAGUAUUUCGGUAUGUAAAGCUCUAUCAGCAGGGAAGAAAAUGACGGUACCUGACUAAGAAGCCCCGGCUAACUACGUGCCAGCAGCCGCGGUAAUACGUAGGGGCAAGCGUUAUCCGGAUUUACUGGGUGUAAAGGGAGCGUAGACGGCAUGACAAGCCAGAUGUGAAAACCCAGGGCUCAACCCUGGGACUGCAUUUGGAACUGCCAGGCUGGAGUGCAGGAGAGGUAAGCGGAAUUCCUAGUGUAGCGGUGAAAUGCGUAGAUAUUAGGAGGAACACCAGUGGCGAAGGCGGCUUACUGGACGGUAACUGACGUUGAGGCUCGAAAGCGUGGGGAGCAAACAGGAUUAGAUACC
rnacentral:rRNA from 1 species